GUAGAGCGGAUGUAGGUAAUUUCAGGUUAGCCACAACGUCACUUACACUUCUACUCAAUGUUUCAUUUUAAGAUACCAUAUGUGAUGUUUUUCUGUAUAAUAUAAUGUGACAGACCUGCCAACCCAACGCACAGCCCUGGACAAGCAGGAAUGCAGGAGAAACUAUACGGUUUCCAUGCAGUCCUUUACACAAAUCAUUUGCAUAAAGUACAAAAUGUUGUGCACAUAUAUACUGGGUUUUAUGGUAACCACAGGCGCUUUUUGAGUCAGGGUAUUUGGGGGAAGGAGAACUACUACUUCCUGGUCAUUACUGCUUCCUGGUAAAGCCUGAAUCUACGCAUACUCCAGUUUCUGCCUCAACGGGUUUGACUGUGCUGUUUGAUCACUGCUGCGGAGAGCAUGAUAGCAAGCAGUGUUUUUAAUCACUUUCUAAUUAUCAUUACCACUAAAAUGAUUUGUCAGAGGGCAGGAGCCCCAGCGACUGCAGGUGAGAUGGGGUUGCGGCUGACAGACUCAUGAUCUCUCCAACUGCUUCGUGAAAGCCCUCGUUGGCUCCGUCUCUGAGAAGGAAGGACAAUAAAAAGAAGCAUUUAAAUUCUUUCCAUUUGGUUACAAAAAAAUUAUGUCACACAGAGGUCACAGAAAUGAGCAAGUUCAGGGAAAAAAACAGAGACAGUUUCCUCUUUUACAUGACUGCGCUCACCAGUUUGUCCGAGUUCUCUGCCGUGAUGUUCGUGUUGUACUCCCAAGAAGCGAGACUGUAUUGGUACAUGAGACGGGAUGCAUCCUCAUCGAAUUUCUGCAGGAACUCUCUGGCCCUGUCCUCAACUGUCUGAGCCCAGGCCGCAGAAGUCGCGGCCAAAACCAAGAUGCACAGAACAGACAUCUUCCAAGAGCACUGACAGCGUCUCAGCAAAGUCACCGUCUUAUCAAGAGUGUUCUCUGGCUACACCCUUUGACCUGAGCUAUAAAACAAAAUAAACUCAUAUCAUUUAGUGCUUAUUCAUUGCACAAAGUACAGGCAUUUGAAAUGCAAUGGCAGAGUCUUAAUCGAGUCUUAUGGGGAGCUGUAUGACUAAAUAUCAAGGGAACAUGUACUAUGUUAAGUGUCUGCUCUCUGAUGGUGAUGAGUUUAGCGUAGAAUCAAAUAUUCUAUUCAAACCAUUCUAUUAAAAGCAUGAAAAACAUUUGACAUUUCUCCAUAAAAGGAAAAAAUACAUUAUGUUUGUUAAGUUUGUUCUAUGAAUUUUGUAAAUCACAAUUGCUUGAGUUGUUAUUAGAUAUUUAAUUUGAAUUUGCAGUGUUUUUUUUUUAAAUAAUAGUUCUUAUAUUACUGUUUAUUAACUGUUUUUAAACUGUACCCUCAUAACUGUUUACUAAGAUGAUUAGAUUUUCUAUCACUUACAUCCAAAAUCAACCUGACAUUCAUCAAAACAAUCUGACUUGUUUGCUCAAGAAUUCACAUUAAAAGAUUGUCAGUGCUGCUCUCA